rnacentral:rRNA from 1 species
GACAGAGGGUGCAAACGUUGUUCGGAAUUACUGGGCGUAAAGCGUGUGUAGGCGGCCAGGAAAGUCAGGUGUGAAAGCCCGGGGCUCAACCCCGGAAGUGCACUUGAUACUGCUUGGCUAGAGUACUGGAGAGGUUGGUGGAAUUCUCGGUGUAGAGGUGAAAUUCGUAGAUAUCGAGAGGAACACCGGUGGCGAAGGCGGCCAACUGGACAGAUACUGACGCUGAGACACGAAAGCGUGGGGAGCAAAC